CACGUAGGGCGCAAGCGUUGUCCGGAAUUAUUGGGCGUAAAGAGCUCGUAGGCGGUCUGUUGCGUCCGCUGUGAAAACUCGGGGCUUAACCCCGAGCCUGCAGUGGAUACGGGCAGACUAGAGGUAGGUAGGGGAGAAUGGAAUUCCCGGUGUAGCGGUGAAAUGCGCAGAUAUCGGGAGGAACACCGGUGGCGAAAGCGGUUCUCUGGGCCUUACCUGACGCUGAGGCACGAAAGCCAGGGGAGCAAACGGG
rnacentral:rRNA from 1 species